rnacentral:rRNA from 1 species
GGGCUACCCAUUGAGUUUAAGCAUAUAAAUAAGCGGAGGAGAAGAAACUUACAAGGAUUCCCUUAGUAACGGCGAAGCUGAACCGGGAUCAGCCCAGCUUGAGAAUCCAAGGGCCGCGCCGCCUGAAUUGUAGUAUGGAGAAGCUGCCCUCAGCGAACGGACCAGGCCCAAGUCCCCGGAAAGGGGCGCCGGGAGGGGAGAGAGCCCCGUCCCGCUCGGACCCCGUCGCACCACGAGGGCGCUGUCCGACGAGUCGGGUUGUUUGGGAAUGCAGCCCCAAUCGGGCGGUAAAUUCGGCCCAAGGCUAAAUAUGGGCGAGAGACCGAAGGGGCUUAACAAGUACCGCGAGGGAAAGAUGAAAAGGACUUUGAAAAGAGAGUCAAAGAGUGCUUGAAAUUGCCGGAGGGAAGCGGAUGGGGCCGGGCGAUGCACCUGGUCGGAUGCGAACGGCGGUUAGCCGGUCCCCGCCGCUCGGGGUGCGGAUCGACGCGGGCUGCAUCGACGGCCGGGCCCGGACGGAUCAUUCGUCAAGGGGAUACCGCCGAUGCGGUCGAGGAAAUGACGCUACGCUUAUCGGCGCGUUUCUGGGUACACGCGACUCCAGGCAUCGGCCAGUGGGUUCUAUCCCACCCGCCUUUGAAACACGGACCAAGGAGUCCGACAUGCGGCGAAGUCGACGGGUGCGGAAACCCGAAGGCACAAGGAAGUUAACGGCGGGAACCCUUCGAGGGGUUGUAACACGGGCCGUCAAUUCUCGAUCUUCUGUGGAAGGGUUCGAGUUGGAGCAUGCAUGUCGGGACCCAAAGAUGGUGAACUAUGUUUGAGCGAGGCGAAGCCGAGAGGAAACUUUGGUGGAGGCCCGUUUAUACCGACGCAAAUCGCUCGUCUGGAUUUGGGUAUAGGGGCGAAGACUAAUCGAACCAUCUAGUAGCUGGUUCCCUCCGUUUCCCUCAGAUAGCUGGAGCCCACGCGGCGAAGUUCUAUCGGUAAAGCCAAUGAUUAGAGGCAUCGGGGGGCUUAACGAACGCCGACCUAUUCUCAAACUUUAAAUAGGUAGGACGGCGGCUGCUUUAUUGAUGCGCCGAAUCGAGAGCCCAAGUGGGCCAUUUUGGUAACCAGAAUCUGGCGAUGCGGAUGAACCGGAAGCCGGGUUACGUGCCCAACUGCACACUAACCCAGCACACCACAAAGGGUGUUGGUCGAUUAAGACAGCAGGACGGUGGUCAUGGAAGUCGAAACCGCUUAGGAGAGUGUAAACAACUCACCGGCCAAUCAACUAGCCCCCCGAAAUGGAUGGCGCUGAAGCGCCAUGCGAAGACACCCGCCAUCGGGCGAAGCCAAGCCCCGGCGAGAGGGAGGGGCUGGCCGCCACAAAACCUGGGGCGAGCCGGCGGAGGCCCGCCGGUGCAAAUCUUGGUGGUAGUAGCAAAUAUUCAAAUGAGAACUUUGAAGGUCAAGAGGGGAAAGGUUCCAUGUGAACGGCACUUGCACAUGGGUUAGCCGAUCCUAAGGGACGGGGAAGCCCGGCCUGAGAGCUGUCGGUUCCGCGAAGUUCAAAGGGAAUCGGUUAAAAUUCCGAGCCGACGCCAAGCCGCGGACGGCAACGUUAGGAAGUCCGGAGACGCCGGCGAGGGCUCCGUGAAGAGUUAACUUUUUCGUUUAACGCCCGCCCACUCGAAACGCUCAGCCGGAGGUAGGGUCCAGCUGCCGGAAGAGCGCCGACGCCGCUGGCGUCCGGCAGCCUCGGCGGCACUUGAAAACCGGAGGACCGAGUGCCGCCGCCCGGCCGCAUUCAUAACCGCAGAUCAGGUCUCCAAGGUGAAUAGCCUCUGGGCCCAUGGAACAAUGUAGGCAAGGGAAGUCGGCAAAACGGAUCCGAACUUCGGAAAAGGAUUGGCUCGAGGGGUGGGGCACGGGGUCCCCGCCCGAACCCUCGCCGGCCGUGGGGCGGAUUGCUCGAGCUGCUCGCGCGGUGAGAGCUGGUCGCCGCGUCGGGUCGGGGGGACGGACCGGAAUGGCCCCGGGGCCUUCCCCGGCGCCGAACAAAACCGUAACUGGUAAUGACAAGGGGAACUGGACCGUUUAAUUAAAACAAAGCAUUGGCGAUGGUCCUCGCGAUGCUCAUGCAAUGUGAUUUCUGCCCAGUGCUUUGAAUGUCAAAGUGAAGAAAUUCAACCAAGCGCAGGUAAAACGGCGGAGUAACUAUGACUUUCUUAUAGCCAAAUGCCUCGCCAUCUAAUUAGUGACGCGCAUGAAUGGAUUAACGAGAUUCCCACUGUCCCUGCUACUACUAUCCAAAUAAACCACAACCAAGGGAACGGGCUUGGCAGAAUCAGCGGGGAAAGAAGACCCUGUUGAGCUUGACUCUAGUCCGACUUUGUGAAAUGACUUGAGAGGUGUAGGAUAAGUGGGGAGCCGGUUCGGGCGGAAGUGAAAUACCACUACUUUUAACGUUAUUUUACUUAUUCCGCGAGUCGGAGGAGGGGCCCAGCCCCUCCUUUUGACCCAAGGUCCGCCUGAAGGGCCGAUCCCAAGCGGAAGACAUUGUCGUGGGGAGUUUGGCUGGGGGGGCACAUUUGUUAAAAGAUAACGAGGUGUCCUAAGAUGAGCUCAACGAGAACAGAAAUCUCGUGUGGGAACAAAAGGGUAAAGCUCGCUUGAUUCUGAUUUCUAGUAAUGGAAUAAUGAACCCGGAAAGCGGCCUAUCGAUCCUUUAGACCUUCAGAAUUCGAAGCCAGAGGGUCGGAAAAGUUACCACAGGGAUAACUGGCUUGUGGCAGCCAAGCCGCUCAUAGUGACGUGUGGUUUUUUGAUCCUUUGAUGUCGGCUCUUCCUAUCAUUGUGAAGCAUAAUUCACCAAGUGUUGGAUUGUUCACCCACCAAUAGGGAACGGAGCUGGGUUUAGACCGCCGGAGACAAGGUUAGUUUUACCCCACCGAUGAUCGGUCGCCGAUAGUAAUUCAACCUAGUACGAGAGGAACCGUUGAUUCACACAAUUGGUCAUCACGCUUUGGUUGAAAAGCCAAUGGAGCGGUUACCGCGGUGUCGGAUUAUGACGAACGCCUCUAAGUCAGAAUCCUAGCUAGCAACCGGGUGUUUCACUGCCGUUCGGCCUCCCGACCCCAAGAGGGGCCUUUGGCCCCCAUGGGCUCGUGGUCGCCGGUGUAGCCUCAUGGUGGUAUAGCCACGGGCGCCAUCGGGAAGUGAAAUUCGCACGGACGACGGGUCAAUCCUUUGCAGAUGACUUAAAUACGCGAUGGGGCAUUGUGGUGGUAGAGUGGCCUUGCUGCCACGAUCCACUGAGAUCCAGCCCUGCGCCGCACGGAUUCGC